CCUACGGGAGGCAGCAGUGGGGAAUAUUGCACAAUGGGGGAAACCCUGAUGCAGCGACGCCGCGUGUGUGAAGAAGUCUUUCGGUAUGUAAAGCUCUAUCAGCAGGGAAGAAGCAAGACGGUACCUGACUAAAAAGCCCCGGCUAACUACGUGCCAGCAGCCGCGGUAAUACGUAGGGUGCAAGCGUUAGCCGGAUUUACUGGGUGUAAAGGGAUCGUAGGCGGUAUGUCAAGUCAGAAGUGAAAGCCCAGGGCUUAACCCUGGGACUGCUUUGGAAACUGUUAGACUAGAGUGCUGGAGAGGUAAGUGGAAUUCCUGGUGUAGCGGUGAAAUGCGUAGAUAUUAGGAGGAACACCAGUGGCGAAGGCGGCUUACUGGACAGUAACUGACGUUGAGGCGCGAAAGCGUGGGGAGCAAACAGGAUUAGAUACCCUAGUAGUC
rnacentral:rRNA from 1 species